ACGCUCGACACCUACGGAGACAGCAGUGGGGAAUAUUGCACAAUGGGGGAAACCCUGAUGCAGCGACGCCGCGUGGAGGAAGAAGGUCUUCGGAUUGUAAACUCCUGUUGUUGGGGAAAAAGAGGAUGGUACCCAACAAGGAAGUGACGGCUAACUACGUGCCAGCAGCCGCGGUAAUCUGAGCGGGCUGGCAAGGC
rnacentral:rRNA from 1 species